CCUCGCUGUUAGCAACUCAAGAUGUGUGCAGAGCACUCAGCCCUCCUGUCUCCUCUGUUUUUCCUCAGAUGUUUAAUUUAAAUAGCCCUUUCUUCUUAUACGGAUCUGGUUCCACAUGUUCCCGUGUUAAAGUCAACAAAAGGUUCUAAAUAAAUCCCUGGUGCAACUGUGAGAGCUUCACUGAACCUGGUGAAAACUGUGCUGAGCUACAGAGUGGUGACUUCAUUGGAAACUGCAGCAGGAGGAGGAAGCUUGGAUGGAAAAAGGAUUUGUGGAAUUCUUUCCAGGUGUUGCUCCUCCCUGAGCUUACAGUUGUUGAAUUUCAAAUAUUGGCAAUCGAUGACAGAGCCUUCAAUUUCUUUUCAAGGAAAAACUAAGUGCAAAGUAAGUUUGGACAAGUGUGUUCAAGAGGAAAGGAGGCUUUUGUAUGAACAAACAAAAUCCCCCUAAAAAAUU
rnacentral:lncRNA from 1 species